AUAGAAGGAAUAGGUGAGCUUAAGAAGUUUCUGCAAAUGCAGCAAGAGAAAGACCUAAAAAUGGAGAUGAAAUGUUAUCCUCCAACCAAUGCGUGAACUUCCCCAGCAGUAUUAUUGAAAGACUGAAGAGAAUGGUGGAGAGGGAUGAAACCUGUUCUAUUUCAAGGUAGCAGACACAAUUGCCAAGAAGCAGAAGCAGAUAACAGCAAAGUUGAAAACAAAGACUUAGCAGGAGAGCCCAGAGCAAAAUUGUUGAAGUGAAGGAGAGCGGAAGUUCUGGAGAAAACCUGCUGAAGGAAGAAGAGAAUCAGUGACGGACAAUGUAGUCAUCAUAUAUGUGAAGGAAUAUUAUGCUGACCUUGGAGAUAGAGAAGAAUGAGGCAGCCAUUAAGGAGAGACUUUCAGAAAAUAUUGCAAAGUCCUGAAGAAGAAAGUGUGAGAAACUCAAAAUAACCCUACCUUAAUUUUGUUUAGUAUAAAAUGGGACAGAAAGAAACAUGUA